CACUCAGCUGCUCCUGAGGAUGCAAGGUUGAGAAGAGCUCUCUUUCAUCCCUGGAGAGAUUUUAUUGAGCUGGAAUAACCUGUGAGCACUCUUCAGCAUGCUGUGAAGCAAUAUAGCUGUGGCACAGAGCCUCUCUCGUCCCCUCUCUCUGGUGAAAGCUGUGGUGCUGCAGGGAAAUCACAGGCAAUUUGGGAUGCUGGAUCUGUUCUCCUGGAUGUUGUAACCAAGGCUGGCAGCCAAAGACACAAAAACGGCUCCUUGAGAGCAGUUUUGAGCAUUUAUGGUCCCAGGAGAUCUGUUUGCUUUGAAGGUGAUGCUGAUGAAGGCCUUGGUGAUUAUAAAUAAGGUUCUCAAAGCCCACAUAAA